GGAUGUGAGGACAAUCUCGCUGCGACUUCUGUGACCCCAUUGAUCACCGGGGUUGAUUUGGCUGAUCUUGCUGGCUAGGUGGGUGUCCACUUCCUUCCUCACUGCUCUGUGUAGAUCUCUCCCGAAGCUGCACUCAGUAGAAUAGGACAGUCAUCCCAGAUGGUCAAGGGUAUAUGUGAGGAAGGUCUGGUAGCUAGUGCGCCGUCUCCUCCUGCAGACAUAGAUGUCAAAGAGGCUGAAGGAAAGGAGAGAGAGUUUAAGAGGGAAGAAGGGCUAGAAGGGGUUAAAACUGAAGUGUGCCUGUCU
rnacentral:sRNA from 1 species